AAGAGCAGGUGGAUGCCUGGUCGAUCUUUUUUUGGUGUCCGUAAACAUCAUCUUUCGAUGUCAGUAAACGUCGAGUCUUCCCAUUCAUCAGUAAAUGUCUGGUCGAUCUUUUUUUGGUGUCUGUAAACAUCAUCUUUCGAUGUCAGUAAACGUCGAGUCUUCCCAUUCAUCAGUAAAUGUAUGGUCGGUCUUUUUUUGGUGUCUGUAAACAUCAUCUUUCGAUGUCAGUAAACGUCGAGUCUUCCC
rnacentral:lncRNA from 1 species